GGGUUAUUUAAUAGUUAUUACAUCUCUCAUGGUACUGUCUCCUAGCAACCAGCUAUAUUGUGCUGCUACUUAGUUCUGCUUAUUAUGGCUUGAUUCUGGUACUCCACUACUGUCAACAUUCCUCUUGGCUUCUGCUGCUGCUGCCAUCUGCUGGACAUGACUUUUAUUGCUCCUCACCCUCAAGUGUUACCUACUUUUUUGUGAAACUGUCAGCAUGGUGACCAAGCAUUUUCAGCUCUUUUGUCUUCAGAGGACAGCUAGUCUAAGCUAAUCUAUGCCUGCACAACAGUCAAGCAACCUACCCCCUCUGUUGGUCUCUUCAGGGACUGUACAGUCCUUAUGACAUGCAGUAGCACCUUAGGGGCUGCUACUAAGGAGAAAGAACUCAGAAAGUCAAACAACCUUCCCUUCUGGUUGGUUCCUCUUUAUCUCGAGAGUUCCAGAGAGGUGACUCUCUCUUUCGCGUCAGAGACAUGACUGGUGGCAGUGUGCUGGGCAUCUUGGCGUCUUGGCAUGGGUCAGGGGAGAGAGUUCUGGACCUGGAGUAGAAGAUCUGAGUUUAAAAAGUCUGUCUCAGACACUUACUAUGUGACCUUGGACAAGUCACAUUCUAUUUGCCCCAGUUUCUUCAUUUGUUAAAUGAUAAUAAUAACAUCUACAAUCCAGUGGUACCUCCCUACCAGUGGUGGUUGUGAGGAUAAAAUUGAUAAUAUUUUUUAAAUGCUUUGUAAAUUUUCCAAUGCUACAUAAAUGCUAUU
rnacentral:lncRNA from 1 species